rnacentral:rRNA from 1 species
UACGGGGAGGUGCGACGUUGUCCGGAAUCACUGGGCGUAAAGGGAGCGUAGGCGGAUAGUUUAGUCAGAGGUGAAAGCCCAGGGCUCAACCUUGGAAUUGCCUUUGAUACUGGCUAUCUUGAGUACGGAAGAGGUAUGUGGAACUCCGAGUGUAGAGGUGAAAUUCGUAGAUAUUCGGAAGAACACCAGUGGCGAAGGCGACAUACUGGUCCG